rnacentral:lncRNA from 1 species
CAGAACUCCUUCCACUUCCCCUUGAGCAUGGUGUUAAACAUGGACAAAUCACCCAGAGAACCUUUCAGAGACAUUGGACACCACCAAGAGGGCUUGGGCUGUCAGUCCUUCCUGCUCUGACCAACUGCUCUGUGUGUGUGGCUCUGGGGGAUUAUAUUUUCAUUCCAGGAGGAUUUUAGGCUUCUGUGCAACCUGCUGUGUCUGUGCUCUGCGCAUUUUGAAACACCUGUGCUGGAUGAAGCUUGGCCUGUGACUGGAACAUUUUGGAAAGCAUGUAGGAUGUGACCACAGCAGACUGUGUGAGCACAAGACAUUUAUAGGACAACUUUUCAUAAUCACCAGGCAUAUUCAUAAUAAUAAACAGCCCAUUGACC